rnacentral:lncRNA from 1 species
GUACCCUGUAUCAUUGUAACAAUAUUGCCUGGUAGAUAUUAUGCCCAUUUUAAAAACAGAAAAAGUAAAAGCCCACAGGCACGUCAGUUAACCGGACAGAGAUUCAAGGUCAGAUCCGUCUAGUUACAAAAACCCAUGCCUACCUAUAAUAUUUUCUUCCCAAAAGAGCAACCAGAUCAUAGAAACACCUGAUUUGUUCAACAGUUUUAGGAAGGAUCUCUCACCUAAACCCAGAUGAUUUCUCUCCCACUUACACACUCCCCAAAGAAUUUCCCAGGAGUUACUAUGAAUUUCACUUUGGGUUCACACAUUUUAUUCAUAAAGAAUAAGAAAAAGCAA